UGGAGCUCCUUCUUGGCGACCUUGUCACGAACAAAGUGAAAAUCAAUCUCUACGUGCUUCGUUCGAGCAUGGAACAUGGGAUUAGCACAUAGAUAGGUGGC